rnacentral:sRNA from 1 species
GUUCGCCUGCGUCGCUCCGGGAGCUGCCGACGGACCGAGCGCCCCCGCCCCCGCCCGGCCGCCCGCCCGCCGCCGCCAUGCCCUUCUCCAACAGCCACAACGCACUGAAGCUGCGCUUCCCGGCCGAGGACGAGUUCCCCGACCUGAGCGCCCACAACAACCACAUGGCCAAGGUGCUGACCCCCGAGCUGUACGCGGAGCUGCGCGCCAAGAGCACGCCGAGCGGCUUCACGCUGGACGACGUCAUCCAGACAGGCGUGGACAACCCGGGCCACCCGUACAUCAUGACCGUGGGCUGCGUGGCGGGCGACGAGGAGUCCUACGAAGUGUUCAAGGAUCUCUUCGACCCCAUCAUCGAGGACCGGCACGGCGGCUACAAGCCCAGCGAUGAGCACAAGACCGACCUCAACCCCGACAACCUGCAGGUGCGGGGCGGCGGGCGGGCCGGGCGGGCGGUGCCGGGGUCUUCGGGCGCUCACUCCCGUCUCGCCCCCCAGGGCGGCGACGACCUGGACCCCAACUACGUGCUGAGCUCGCGGGUGCGCACGGGCCGCAGCAUCCGUGGCUUCUGCCUCCCCCCGCACUGCAGCCGCGGGGAGCGCCGCGCCAUCGAGAAGCUCGCGGUGGAAGGUAGGGGCCGGGCGGGCCGAGGGGCGGCGGCGGCCGCGUCCCCCUCCCGGCGCGGUCCCCGCCCGCUUUUGUUUACGUCGCCCGGGAGCGGCAGCCGCCGUCGCGCUCUUAUCUGCGUGCGCCCGGGUUCAGUUUCCCGGAGGGACCGAGGGACGGAGGCCCAGCCCCGCGCCCACAGCGGCCUGGGGCCCAGGGAG